CAGCGCCCACCGCGCAAGAUACGCUAGCCUGAGACAACAGAGGUGAGGGUGAAGGAGAGCGGCACGGGAACGGCAGCGGGAGGCGAUGGGAAUGGCGUUGGCUUCAGGUGACCGGAAAGGCAAAAGGGAAAGGGGAAGGGGGUGUCGCGCGCAUGGCGCUGGCGCCAGGAAGGAGAAGGGAAAAGAGAAAAGAAAAAAAAAAGAAAAAAAAGAAAAAGAAAAAAAAGAAAAGAGAAAAAUCUUGGGCUUCUAGACCAUUCCGGUUCGAUUCGAACCGGUUUGGUCUAAUUUCAAUGAUUCGGCUCGAUUUUGUUCGGUUUGCAAGUUUUUCACUUGGUUUUCAAAUUAUUCGUGUGGUUUUUGAAAAAUCAAUUCGCGUUUCGAGUCCGG
rnacentral:lncRNA from 1 species